rnacentral:tRNA from 1 species
GGCCCCAUCGUCUAGUGGUUUAGGACACCGCCCUUUCACGGCGGUAACCCGGGUUCGAAUCCCGGUGGGGUCA